AAAGUUGGAGAGGUGGAGGGAGGAAAUGGGGAGGUGGAGGGAGUAACACCCAUCAGCGUCCAGGUGCAGCAGCUUCUAAGUAGUGCAUUGUAGUGUUUCCCUAAAGAAGAUUCAGCACAUAAAGCUGCCCAAUUUGUGCAAUUAAAGUAUCAUUCAGUCCAAUGCUAAUUGUAGCAACACAGUGGCCCAGUAAUGUCGGCCCAAAUCAACGUAAUCAUCUUUCCAUUUUCUUCCAAUUAACAUCAGCG
rnacentral:lncRNA from 1 species